CAAAUACUUUCAGCUUGCAGGCAGACACUAGAAUAAGUUUAUGAGUGACAGAGUGAGGGCUUUGCAUAAGCGCUUUGUUGCGUUUUGUUGUGGGACUAGAAAAAAGUGCCUUGAACGUAAAAUAACGUUAUUAACCUGUUCCCAUGCUUUUAAAGAUAAUGGUUCUGUUGGAUCACUUUCAUUCCAGGUUUUGUUUCUGUUCCUUGAAAAAUUUAAUUAUUUUCCAGUUUUCUGACGUCCUUCCUCUAACCUGCCUCAUCGUCAUCUGUGAUCAGUUCUACCCCGGUGGUGUCGUCAGCAAACUUGAUGAUGGUGUUCUGAUGAAGACUAUUGCAGCUGAAAACCAUGUUUGUGGAGGGGGAAUAGCAUGGGAGCAACAUAUACUGCCAUGAAUACCAUGCGCAGGUUUUUCUGUCUUUACUAUGGGUGUGGUGAGCAGCCAGCCAGGGUCAGGGAGAGUGGUCAGCAGCCUAUCCAGUCUGGAUGGACACCAGCAGGGGCAGGCAGGGGAUAUGUGAGGAAUGUCCAGACUGCAGGCCACUCUACACCACGCAGUGUGUGCUAUGUACAGUAUAUGUGAUGGAAGGGAAGACCAGCCGCACCUUACAUCUCUUUGGCGAUGCAUACAGACACUUACAGAUUAUGACCUGAUUUGUUCUGACAGCGCUGUGUCAUCCAGUGCCACGCACUCACGCACGCACGCACACAGGAGUAGCAAGGCCAGGGGCAGCCCUGGAAACUGUGGCGUCAUAGAGAGAGUGAAGAAUAUGGAGAGGUCGGGGACUAGGUCAGGGAUUAAGCCAGGCCAGGGCUCACACAUACUCUACAAGUGGGUGAGCCUCACUCCACUCCAUACAGACAGACAGAGGCCUACUACCAGUUUUCAAUACACAGAUUAAGCCUAGGCCUACUCUAGGCCUAAAAACCAGGAUGUCUGAGAAACAGGUUCCAUUCUACCCAUAGUGUUACCUUGUCAAUACCCAUUGUUGAAAGUAUUUUUGGGGUUUACACCCACCUAUCAUCAGAGUUAUUGAAAUAGUCAGUGGGCAGAGCUGUCACCAUAGUUUGGUUAGUGUCUAAACAGAGAGUAGAGAAGUUUGAAUGGCCUGAAGAUUGUCUUCACUUAUUCAGAGUGUUGAAAUGCUCCUCUAAAGUCCUACCGGAUGCCACAAAUAGACCUGUUCACUGCUGCUCUCCUUGUCACACCAAUAGCCUGUCCUCUCUUCUCAGCCCAGUGUCCAGCAGCCAAUAGUAGCCCUGGCCCCCUGCUGGAACUGUCUGGCUGGGUGACCGACAAUAUUCAGAGUGAUAACAGCCAUGCUGAUGUCACUGUCGAGACUCAGAAGACACAUUUAGUCGGUCUGUUUGAGAGAGAAAAGAGAGAGAGGGAGGGGGGAGAGAGAGUAUUCCUAAUAGAUGUAAUUACAAGCUUAUUGUAAACUCUUCUCAAUGCCAAACCAACAUGGAGUCAGACAGUUUUCUACAGCUGUGAGUGAAUACCAGGAGAAUAACAUUGGUCUGAUGGCUCCACAUCAACAACUAUAAAAACAAUAAUCUGCUUUCAGGUUAAAUCCUUUCAAUCCCCUCGCUAUUUAUAAGCAGUGCCUCUCAAAUAUUUAGAAGCCAGUGUAAGCGGCUAAUUUGUGACUGACUAAUGAUCCUUACAGUCUGUCUAAUUACAGCAGUUGAAAAGGGAUUAGUCGGUUUUCAUUUCUUAAAGGCCCACGUUAAUAAAAGUGGCAGCCCACGUUAAUAAAAGUGUGUCGUUUAAUUAAGGCUAACGUUUCUUCACAUAAUAUAACACCGCACUGAAGGCCGCAAGCCUGAUGUAUCUGGAGAUUUUCAUUACACCCCCGCAAUGUAAUUAAUAAGACAACAAUAUCGGUGUGCAGUGCCGUGGUUUGGAAUGCGAACGGCAAACCCAUGCAGCUAAUGUACAAAGCCACUAAUAAACAAUAUGGAAAUAGAGGGACCCAGAUGGCCCCUGAGGGCCAGACCAUUCUGACACAAUCACAAUCACAGUGCAUUAAUGAACACAGAACGCUUCUUCUUCUCUGAAAUGUGAGAGAGAACACCAAACCGGAUUACAUAGAGAGAGCAGACAGAGCCCAAAGCCAAGUCCUUCAGCACUUUGGGGAAAUGGUUCUGAACCGGAGAGAGGAUACACUGCGGCCUCCUAUACAUUACAGACAGAAGGUUAUUGCUGAUAUGGAGAGGCUUUGAGAGCUAUUAUCAGGCAGCACAAACAAUUAUGGGUGUUGAUAAUGAGAGAAUGAGAGCGGCCUUUGUGGGCGGGGGUCUCUGUAGAGGGAGCCCCUCUAGUGUGAAUAGAGCCAGGAACACUGUGGCUCCUCCCUCUGGCUGGUGUGGCCGUGUAGUCAUUAGCUUGUGAUAAGACAGGACAACAAGGAGGCAGGGAGGAGGAGAGGGGGAUGUUUACUGGAACAGAGCUGGCUCUGACUGGAAUAUAGGAGGAAAGCAGUGAAUCUCAACCUAAUGCUCAGCUGCAUCUGCUAGCCCUAUGAGUGCAGCCAGGCAUUCUCUUGUGUUCCUGCCCUGCAUGAGCGAUCAUGGGGUCCGCCCCCGACCCUGGGCUGCUGGGUCAACGGGGCAUCUCACUAUUCCGACACGUUUCGGAAGUGGCGGAGGCCAGGGAUUGUCUCUGGCCAGCAGGGAAGAUGGAGAGACACCAGGAAGGACAAAAGGAGGAGAGGAUGAGCGUGAGGGCGGAGGCCUCCGUCUCUUUCAUUGAGAGGAGCCGUCUAGACAUCAAUGUUCCACACGAGAGCAGGGCCUCUUUUAAAGAUGACUUUGAGAAACUCUUUGCUGGGAAAAUAUAGGUGGGGGUCAGAGUCAGUGAUCAGUGGGAUUGAAAUAGACCCUGACCUUAGUGGUAUAACAAGAUGUAGGUUCACUGACGACAGUCAUUAUCAUUUGUUUACAUGUGACACCAUGUCUCUAUGCACUGCUAAAUAAUAAUAACUGCUGUUGGAUUGAACGAUUUUCAUAUGGCAUGUUUGAGUUACAGGGAAUUACAAGAUAAUUCUUUUUUCUAGAUUUAAAUGACAGCACCCUUUUAGACAGCAACGUUUUAAUUGUAUUUUUGUCAAAUAUAAACUGUAAUGACUUUUAACCAGACCUGGGUUCAAAUAAAUGUGUGUUUCAUUAUUUGUUA